AUGUGCAUUUCAAAAAAGCAAGGAGGCAUGGGUUUCAGAGAUACCCACUAUUUCAACCUCGCACUGUUAGCUAAACAGGCAUGUCAAUUGAUUGACAACCCUGGCUCAUUAUGUGUUGUAGUUCUUAAGGCCAAAUAUUUUCCCGAGGGAGAUUUGAUGGGUGCUACUUUGAAGAGGAAAGCAUCAUACACAUGGCAAAGUAUUAUGGCAGUGGUGGAUACGUUAUAGAGAGGCUAUAUUUAGAGAAUCGGUGAUGGUGAGAGCGUUAACAUAAGGAAUGACCCCAGGAUUCCCCAAUCACCCUCCAAAAAUCUAACUAUUCAUGGAAAUAAUCUCUUGUCUCGUGUAUGUGACCUCAUAGAUCCUGUAUCAGGAGAUUGGGAUGAACAAUUGGUGAGACAAACGUUUUGGCCAGUUGAUGCUCAUAGAAUUUUGGCUAUACCCUUCCUUUACAUGAUGACAGACUUCGUGGCAUGGAACCCCUCGAGAAUCCGGAUCUUUACGAUACGUUUGGCCUUAGUGGCGGAGCCAGGAAAUUCGGAUGAGGAGGGCCAAGUAUUGUUAAGUCUUGUUAGAGAGGGCCAUUCAUGA
rnacentral:rRNA from 1 species